rnacentral:lncRNA from 10 species
AGAGCCAGGGUGGUGGCAGCAGAACCAUCAAGGCCAGCCUGGGGGCUCUAGGAAAGCUUCCAGGAUGGACUUCUACCUCAACAGGGAUGUGAGGGGUACAGAGGUGGGAGGUGAGGAAAGGAGAGCACUCCUGGCAGGCAGAAUGGCGUGAGCAAAGGCCCAGAAGCCAGAAAAGCACAGCACACUUGCAACCAUAGGCAGACCCAUGACAUCAGGCCACAGCUCACGGGGAGGGCGGGCUAGGAGAUGAGGCCACAGAGGGAGGCAGUUCCCAGGCAUGGACCUCAUCCUGUGAGCAGUAGGGAGCCAGGCAAGGGCUAGAAACAGGGUGGUGGUAGGGUCAGAUCUGCCUUUAGGACUGCAGGAGGCAGGACAAAUCAGCAGGGAGUGGCUGGUACGGGGAGACUCUUGAGGAUGCUGCAGCUGUGGCCCAGGCAGGGGAGAGAGCACACUGAGUCAAGAGAGUGUGUACAGGCAGGAGCCACCAGUCACCCCCUUCACCUGCCACUGAUGGCCAGCCCACUCGCUUGCCCAACCCCAGGCCACUGGCACCACCCUGGCCCAGCUGGGGACUAAAAAUCUUCUAUUGCUGGUGAACUUUAACGGAAAUGCCACCUGCUUGGUAAAGCCAUCCCUGACCCUGCCUGGCCUCUACCCACCACUGGCAUCCCGAACAUCCUCACAGCACCUUGUGCUGUGCUGCCUUAUUCUGAGGAGCACUAAGACCACAGCCUUUGAACAGGACCUCCUGGGUUCAUACUCCACUCUCCACUAACUUGCUGUGUUACCCUGGGCAAGGUUCUUAACCAUUCUGUGCCUCAGUUUCCACAUCUGUACAAGGAGCAUGAUGGGAGUAUAAGCCUCAUAAGAUUGUGGUGGAGAUUAAAUUAAAUAAAGUGCUUAGAAUGGUGCUGGCUACAGAGAAUGUGCUGAAUGAAGGGGAGUCCUUUUCAGCCGUCUCUGUGGCUGUCACCCAUAGAUAGGUGAGCAGCCGGAGGGCUGGGAGUGGGUCACCUUCACUGUUGUGUGUCUGACACCUGCCACAUUCUCAGGCGACAGAGGAGGGAAAGCAAGGCUGGCCAGCAGCUUGGGGACCCUCUGCCAGGUGCUGCCUUCCUGCCCUCCUCCCAGCAUCCUUGUCCAGGCUCUCAGGCAGGCUGCCCAUGCUGCUGGGCAACAGUGGCCCAUCCCUCGCGCCCACCCCUUGGGCUGCACGCUAGCCUUUGGCUCCAUUCUCAUUCCUUGGGCACUUUCCGCUGCUAUAAAUGUUCACCACGCUC